rnacentral:misc_RNA from 1 species
AGCAGCCGCGGUAAUUCCAGCUCCAAUAGCGUAUAUUAAAGUUGUUGCAGUUAAAAAGCUCGUAGUUGAAUUUCGGGACUAAUAUGUCGGUCGUACUUUGUACGUACUAGCAUUAUUGGUUUCUCCCUUCUGACGAACCACGAUGUCAUUAAUUUGGUGUCAUGGGAAAUCAGGACUGUUACUUUGAAAAAUUAGAGUGUUUAAAGCAAGCUCGCGCUUGAAUACAUUAGCAUGGAAUAAUGAAAUAGGACGUUUGAUUCUAUUUUGUUGGUUUCUAGGAUCGACGUAAUGAUUAAUAGGGAUAGUUGGGGGCAUUAGUAUUCAAUUGUCAGAGGUGAAAUUCUUGGAUUUAUUGAAGACUAACUACUGCGAAAGCAUUUGCCAAGGAUGUUUUCAUUAAUCAAGAACGAAAGUUAGGGGAUCGAAGACGAUCAGAUACCGUCGUAGUCUUAACCAUAAACUAUGC